rnacentral:tRNA from 2 species
UCCCUGGUGGCUUAGAGGUUAAAGUAUCUGCCUGCAAUGCAGGAGACCCAGGUUCAAUCCCUGGGUUGGGAA